CUAGCUAGUCAAGCUCACAAACAAAAGAGUGAGAACCUCAUAGCUCCUCCUUGCACAUCUGUUUUGGAGGAAUAUCUCAGCAUUCUGUUGUGAUGCACACUGGGCUUAAAUGAAUCUGAAUCUUGUGUCGGGGAAGGGGAAAGAAGCCGGCGGAUCUUCAGGCAGAGAACCCACAGGAGCCCCGAGAGAUCCAUCACACCCUUCUUGCUAAGAGGAGCCCCGCGGAGCGCACCUCACCCACGCCCACGGCCGCUCCUCACCUGCACGCAUCACGCAGCCGGCAGCUGCAUUCAAUAUGCAAUCUGCGCACCUGUCGGUGAUGAUCUGGCUGGGCUUCUUAAGCCAAUGCAGACCUGCAUUCUUGGCCAGAAUGUAACCAUCCGUUCGCGUACGCAGUCUGCCUUUGUUCCCGCGUCGACGAGCUGUGCGUCUCGUCAAUUCUUGGUUCUCUGAUUCCCGGACUGCCUCCUCGAUCCUCGACCCCCGCUUGGACACGGACCUUUUUCGCCCCCGCUAUCGCCCCUGGACUUCCUGCUUGCCUCACAGACAUUCCCCUUUUCUUCCGCCUCUCGCCCAACAUUCCCGGUAACAUACUCAUUAAAUCCUACACAUAGUCUCACACCAUACACACUCUUGGAUUCU